UCUUACAGAGUUCUCAAUUAAUUUGGUACUUUCACAUAUUAAUCAAUAUCCAUACAGUGAAUAUUUCUUUUAAAGAGAAAGUUGUACCAUUAUGGUCAUGUCAAAAUUAUAUGCAAGAUUUGUUUCUUGCAUUAUUAUUGUCCUUUGAUAAUCACAUUGACAAAUUAUUUUGGCGUACAAUAGGUACGUGACCAAUGACUAUUCAUGCCAUAACAAUGA
rnacentral:lncRNA from 1 species